AUCCCUAUUCUCAAAUACCCCCUUAAUCUCAAAUACCCCUAUUCUCAAAUACCCCCUUAAUCUCAAAUACCCCUAUUCUCAAAUACCCCUAUUCUCAAAUACCCCUAUUCUCAAAUACCCUUUAAUCUCAAAUACUCCUAUUCUCAAAUACCCUUUAAUCUCAAUUACCCUUAUUCCUAAAUGCCCCUAAUCUCAAAUACCCUUAUUCUUAAAUGCCCCUAAUCUCAUAUACCCCUUUAAUCUCAAAUACCCUUAUUCUC
rnacentral:lncRNA from 1 species